CUUGGCGACCAUAGCGUUUUGGACCCACCUGAACCCAUUCCGAACUCAGAAGUGAAACGAAAUAGCGUCGAUGGUAGUGUGGGG
rnacentral:rRNA from 1 species